CCUAUAAAAAGCACCACUAUCACAGACUGCACUGUGCCACCUAUGUUAUUCCUCAUAACUAAGUUAUUAUGUCUUUGCAUUGUAUAAUUAAAUUACCAACUUCUUCUUCAAACUGAAACAUAACAAUAACCCAAGUACAGUUGCAUGGCAGUAGAAAUACAACUACGAGAGAGAAGGGGAGUUUUGCUAGUAGAUAGGGACAAUGUGCUUCAUGAAUGCGAUCAACCAAAAUGUUUUAUUCUCAACGGUGGUCUGCACUCUGCCGGUUUACUAAGUGCUUUUUCACGCUACGUUUGAAAGAUCCGAUGUUAUGCAGACGAUGACUGGGAUAUGAUACACGAAAGCCAUUCCCACAAUGUUACGGUGUAGUUCAGAGCCUAAUCUUGGAAUAUUAGCCCCGUUUGUAAUCUUUAUUUACGCUGGCGAGAUACUAAUGAAGAAUUAUGUAAUAAUGAAAUUGAACUAUAUCAUGACUAUUAUAAAAUAUUAUAUUCAUCAGGAAUUAAGCACGAUAGUUUCUAGGGGUGAUCGUGUGGCGAUCGACCUAGUUAAGCAACCCUGUUGUGAUUGGAUGUACCUAUAUAUCAAUGAAAUAAUCACAAUACUAGUUCCUUAGUAGGAUUAGAUGAAAAUGUUGUUUCCAUACCUCGAUUAUUGAUCUAUCUUCUCAAAAUCUCUUUAUACAUAAGAUAUUUUUGUACGAAAAUGAAAUUGUUGAAAAGCCCUUCAGAUAAUACCUAAUAAUAAAAUUUACUGCGAGAUAAGGUACUAUUCAACAUAUUCAUCAUAUUUUUUUUUUAUGGGUGAAAAUGGUAUGGUAACCCCGCCUGCGCUAACGGGGUACGCUGGCGGAGCACCAGUGAAGGGUGAUAGAUGAGAAUGAAAACAGGUCAGUUAGGCCAUCAUGAUGAAUUCAUCAGGAAUUCACCAUGAUAGUUUCCAGGGAGAACCGCGAGGAGGUCGACCUGGUUGGGUAUAUUGCUAGCAAUGGGAUUCUCAGUCUCCAUUACUAACAAUCCCUUUCCCCCACAUAAUAUAAGUAUUGAUACAUGGUAUAUAUUUGUAUAUGGACCACAUGUAGUUAAAUAAAUUUAAUUCAGUUAUAAAGAUUGAUUAAAGAUAUUAUACAUAUAUAUAGCUAUUCUUCGCGGACUUGUACGUGUAAAUUAAUAUAAUAUAUAAAAUAUUCCAUGAUAUGUUAGGAUAUAACCUACCAAUUCCAUUCAAAUCCGUUCAGCCGUUUAAGCGUGAUUAAAUAACAAACAUCUUUAUUUCAAGCAUGUAUUUUAUAUC